rnacentral:rRNA from 1 species
AACGAACGCUGGCGGCAUGCCUAACACAUGCAAGUCGAACGAGACCUCCGGGCCUAUUUGCGCACGUGUGCGUACCGCGUGGGAACCUGCCCUUAGGUUACCAACAACUCCCUGAAAGGGGUGCUAAUACCGGUUAAUGUCUUCGGACCAAAGACGUAUCGCCUUUGGGUGGGCGCUCGUUGGCUUGGCUAGUUGGUAGGGGACAAGCCUACCAUGGCGUCGUUCCAUAGCUGGUCGGAGAGGAUGACCAGCCACACUGGGGCUGAGACACGGCCCAGACUCGUACGCGAGGGAGGAGUAGAGAGUAUUAGAGGAUGGAGGAAGGCGUGAUAAAGCAGUGCGGCGUAAGAGGUGAAGGCCUUAGGGUAGUAAAGCUGUUUUAGCCGGGAUGAUAAUGACGGUACCGGGAGAAGAAGCACCGGCUAACUACGUG